rnacentral:rRNA from 1 species
GCGCUGAAUCUCUCUGUCCUUGGCAGCUGAGAACUGUGGCGUAUAGGUGCAGCUUUCCGGCGUUACAUGCUUCCCUAUUUCGUAUGGAUUAACGAUAUAGAAACGGUUGAAUACCGGUAAGGGUUGCAGGUGCGUCGGUCGGCGGUGCUUUGGAGUCGGGUUGCUUGAGAGUGCAGCCUUAAGCGGGUGGUAAACCUCAUCUAAGGCUCAAUAUGACUGUGAGUCCGAUAGUGGACAAGUACUGUGAAGGAAAGUUGAAAAGAACUCUGAGGAGAGAGUUAAAGAGUGCGUGAAACCACAGGGAUAACCGAAUUUUAUACAGUCGAUGAAAUCAGUCAACAUUCAUCUGUCUCGUCAGUGGAUUAUGUCUGCAGGCGAGGCGGUGCUCUUGUUGAUUUGGGCGCUGAGAGUUUUGAUCGCGCGGUGUGAGCUGUGAUUGGUCGCCCACUUCGGUGGUGUCUUCUAUCAUGGGUAGCGCUGUCGUGGUUAAGGCGCUUCGGUGUGCCCAUCGGGUCUGUAUCCGACCCGUCUUGAAACACGGACCAAGGAGGCUAGAUCAUACGUGAGUAUGUCGGUUGAAAACCGAAAGGCGCAGUGAAAGUGAAAGGUCGGCUUGUCCGGCUUAUAAGGGGAUCCUUGUUGUCAUGACUUGGAUCACCCUGACCCUGUUGCGAGCAUAAGCUCUGACAGAGGAAGAGCGUAUGCUCUAGAACCCGAAAGAUGGUGAACUAUGCAGAGGCAGGACGAAGCCGGAGGAAACUCCGGUGGAGGUCCGAAGUUGUUUUGACGUGCAAAUCGAUUGUGUGACUUGUGAAUGGGAGCGAAAGACUAAUCGAACCAUAUGGUAGCUGGUUCCCUUUGAAGUUUCCCUUAGGAUAGCAAGAGCUUGUUUUAAUCAGUUAUAUGUCGUAAAGCGAAUGAAUAGAGGUGUUGGGGGCUUUGUGCCCUUGAACUAUUAUCAAACUUUGAAUGUGUAUGAAGUCGUGUGUUGCUUUGUGUGAACUAUGACCCUGAAUGAAAGCUCUUAGUGGGCCAUUUUUGGUAAGCAGAACUGGUGCUGUGGGAUGAACCAAACGUACGGGUUAAAGUGCCCAAAUGCCCGCUCAUGAGACCCCAUGAAAGGCGUUAGUUGAUAUAGACAGCAGGACGGUGGCCAUGGAAGUCGGUACCCGCUAAGGAGUGUGUAACAACUCACCUGCCGAAUCAACUAGCCCUGAAAAUGGAUGGCGCUUGAGCGGGCUACUUAUACCCUGCCGUUGAUAGCAUGAGCGUUWCCGUCGCCUUGCUUCAACGAGUAAAAGGGUCGUGGCAGUUAGCUUUGAAGGCUUUGGACGUGGGUCUAGCUGGAGCUUCUGUCAGUGCAGAUCUUGGUGGUAGUAGCAAAUAUUCAAGCGAGAGCCUUGAAAACUGAAGUGGGGAAGGGUUCCACGUGAACAGCGAUUGAAUGUGGGUCAGUCGACCCUAAGAUACUGGCUAAUGCCUUGUAUCAGCGAGAGUUAAAGUCUUUUCUCUCUAUGAUCGAAAGGGAAACAGGUUGAUAUUCCUGUACCUGGUUACGGAGAUUUGCAGUCAUCUCGAUUGCAUAGUGCGGUAACGCUAUUGAACUUGGUUUGCUGAGCUGAGCCCGAGCCAGAGUUCUCUUCUCUGGUUUAGGAACGGACUCCCUGGAAACGGUUCAGCCGAAGAUAGGGACGUUGUUUCCGUAAAGCGCCACGGUUUCUGUGGCGUCUCGUGCGUUCGGCUCGGYCCUUGAAACACCAAGGGAUGCUAUUUGAAUCUCGUACCAGAUCGUACCCAUAUCCGCAACAGGUCUCCAAGGUGAACAGCCUCUAGUUGAUUGAAUAAUGUAGGUAAGGGAAGUCGGCAAACUUGAUCCGUAACUUCGGGAAAAGGAUUGGCUCUAAGGACUGGCUCGGUCGGGCCGUGGAAUGAAGUGGGUACGGCUUGUCCUCGGCUGGGUGACGCUUCGGUGGAGCUUGGCCUUGUGGCGAGACUGUCCUAUGGACUUCUGCGGCUUCGUGCAUUCCUCUCGGGGUUUGUACUUCGGCCAGCGUGAAACAGUUAACUUAGAACUGGUACGGACUCGGGGAAUCCGACUGUCUAAUUAAAACAGAGGAGACAGAUGGUCCUUGCGGACGUUAACUGUCUCUGAUUUCUGCCCAGUGCUCUGAAUGUUAACGUGAAGUAAUUCACGUAAGCGCGGGUAAACGGCGGGAGUAACUAUGACUCUCUUAAGGUAGCCAAACGCCUCGUCCCCUAAUUAGGGACGCGCAUGAAUGGAUUAACGAGAUUCCCACUGUCCCUAUCUACUAUCUAGCGAAACCACAGCCAAGGGAACGGGCUUGGCAAAAACAGCGGGGAAAGAAGACCCUGUUGAGCUUGACUCUAGUCUGACUCUGUGAAGAGUCUUGAACGGUGUAGCAUAAGUGGGAGACUUCGGUCACCGGUGAAAAACCACUACUUUCAUUGAUUCAUUUCUUAUUCGGUAAAACGGGGGCUUGAGCUUUGCUCUUCCUUCUGAUUUUAAGCUCNGUUACUUGGUAACSGGGCGACUCGCGCCGAAGACAGCUUCAGGCGGGGAGUUUGGCUGGGGCGGUACAUCUGUCAAAUCGUAACGCAGGUGUCCUAAGGCUAGCUCAGAGAGGACGGAAACCUCUCGUAGAGCAAAAGGGCAAAAGCUAACUUGAUCUUGAUUUUCAGUACGAAUACAGACCGCGAAAGCGUGGCCUAUCGAUCCUUUUCAAUUAGAAGGUUUCUAGUAAGAGGUGUCAGAAAAGUUACCACAGGGAUAACUGGCUUGUGGCAGCCAAGCGUCCAUAGCGACGUUGCUUUUUGAUCCUUCGAUGUCGGCUCUUCCUAUCAUUGCGAAGCAGAAUUCGCCAAGCGUUGGAUUGUUCACCCACCAAUAGGGAACGUGAGCUGGGUUUAGACCGUCGUGAGACAGGUUAGUUUUACCCUACUGUUGACUAGUUGUUGCGAUAGUAAUCCUUCUUAGUACGAGAGGAACCGCAGGUUCAGACCUUUGGUUCAUGCGCUUGGCCGAUCGGCCAAUGGUGCGAAGCUACCAUCUGUGAGAAUAUGACUGAACGCCUCUAAGUCAGAAUCCCGCCUAGUCAAGGCAAUGAUAAUUUUCUUGCUCUCUCGGUGUCGGGAGGCACUUCUAUGUAGUGGUAACGCUACAGUUUAUGCCCUAUCAGAUGGCCUUGCUUCUUGGGAGAAUCCUAAGGAGUUGCCAAAGCCGGAUCACUCUGGUUUCUCGAGGGCGCAAGAUCACUUGCAUACGACUUGAUCACUGGUCAAGGUGUUGUACUCAGUAGAGCAGUCUAGCU